GUUCGUGGGCGGAGGUGGGUAUAAAUUCACUGGAGGGAUAGGAAUCACCAACCAUUAACCAUUUCCUUGCAGGCAUUUCCUUAUAUCCUGACUUUAGGAACAACCAAAGUACUGACUUUUUUAAGGUUUCAACAACAAGGAAGAACUAAUUCUAUUAUUUUUAGGUGUUGAAUACCUGAUUUGCAUAGGGAGAUUGACCUCACAUGUUCACGUAAGUACAAUACUCCAGGUAAGUCAUUAAAUAGCAUUAGGAACUACUAACAUUCAUCAUUUGAUUUUAGGUAAAGUACUAACUAAAUUUUUUACAGGAGAACUUUGUGAAGGUUUCAACAACAAGGUAGAACUAAUUCCAUUGUUUUCAGCAGUUGAAGACCUGAUUUGCAUAAGGAGAUUGUCUACACACAGUAUGUUCACGUAAGUACAUUACUCCAGGCAAGUUAUUAAAUAACAGUAGGAACUACUAACAUGCAUUAUUUGAUUUCAGGUAAAGUGCUAACUGUAAUUAUUGUUUCAGGAAAACUUGAUCCAGGUUACAACAUGUUGUCAGUAAAAAAAAUUCAGGUCAGUAACUCUGAGUAUCAAAUGGGAACUGCUUACAAUGCAUCAUUUGUUUUCAGAGGUGGAUUCUUGGAAAAAAAUCAAAUUAAGUGAAAACAGUAACCUACACUUAGAAAUAAUGGAUGCCCUUGAAAUACUAUACAAGACCUACCACAUAUUGCAGCUUGGAUUAUCAGAGACUAAAUGAUAUUGAACUUAUUCCACAGGUUUUCUGCAGAGAACAUCUAAGAAGCCAUUAAUAGGACAUAGUUAUGGAAAUAUUCUACAGGUUUUCACAUCCUUUCAGUUAUCUACCUGGGGAUACUCAACAGAAUAUUAAUUUUACAAAGAUCACUAGGACCUAAAGAAUGUCCAAGUUGAGGACCUGAACAUUUGGAAUGAAGGAUUAUUCACACCAACAAGUGAUCAAUGAACUUGGAGGACAGACCUUUUCUGGAUUUCAGGAACAUCUAUUUGAAGCAGCAACUGUGCAAAAUAAGACACUAUUGUA